CCGGCGGCGUGUGCCGCGGCGGUGGCGGGAGCCCUCCUCUCCUCUCUCUCCCCCCCCCCCCCCUCUCCUGCCCGUCCUCCUCCUCCUCCUCCUCCUCGCCCAGGAGUUUUUAAACUUUAAAGAGCAGGUUACAUCGACCUGCCCGCCUUUGUCCCUCGGACACCGCGCUCGGGCACCGAAAAGCCGCGGGGCCGCGUCCCGCCGCCUUGCCUCCGCCCUCCCCCCAGCGCCCCCCGGAGAGCAUCUGGAGAGAGGGAGAGAGAGAGAAAGGGCGCGUUCAUGAGGACUACAAAGUUACAAAUAUGGCUCCCCAGUCUCUCUUGCCUGAUCACUGCAAAGAAAUGAAGACGCACUUUAAACUAAACCAUUUGCAACUCACUCGCAGUCCCUGUCUGCCUCUCCCUGCCCAGCACCCUGUACAAAUAUUUGCGAACUAAACACGCCAAGAGAGGAGCACCAACUUAUUUUUAUUUAAUGCACGGCGAAGCCCCCCUGGAAGGCAUCGCACACCGGCAGACUCAGGAGCAGCCUCUAGUUUUAACACCCCCUCUCUCCCCCCCACCCCCCCCCCCCCCCGCCGCCUAAACCAGAACGCGUGCGCCUUCGGGCACCCCCCCAAAAAUUGGGGUACACACACACAGGUAGGCACCUCAAGGGCAGCAGCGGCCCCGCCACCUCCACCACCACCGCGGGGUUGGGAUGCACACCCCUUCCCGCCUCCCCCCCGCCCGCUCUAAAAUUAAAAAAAAAAAAAAAAAUAAAAAAAGCGUGGGAUGGAUUUUUAUUA